GGAGACUAUUACAGAGAGAAGGCAGGGCCAUGAUGGCUUCUGCGAACAGUGUUUUUAUUAAGUGACAGUGCAUACUGGCUGAAUGGGGGGCCUUGGAUGAGGGCGGAGCCUACCCAAGCUAGAUUUUAAAAGAGCGGGGCCACAGCAGCUCUUUCUCAGAACCUCUCAGAAAUUCCUCAGACUUUUUCAAGCCCUGCAGACUCCACGUCACCCCUUCUGCUCCCUUGCCUCCUCUGGGGGAUCCCACAAGUGUUCUUAUCCCUCCAUAACGCACAGAAAUAUCAGCAGAUAAGAAGACUACCAAACCCAGGAUUUCCAGACAAACAUCGUGCCUGAUUGUGGGAGAAAUUGGGAACCCUUUGGAAUAAGGCUUGCAUUGAAAUAACCUGUUUUGCACAAAUUCUGAUUGCCAUGUCUGGUUCAUUUCCCAGCCAUGUGUUUCCGGUGGAUCGACAUUCAACAUCCUCAUUAG